rnacentral:rRNA from 1 species
UCUUUUUCCGUACAGGUGUUCACCCGUCUUCAUGUAGAUUAUACUAUAGAAGAAGAUACUUAAUACUAGAACGAAGUAGAUGAUACUAACUCUAAAAUGUCCUGGUUCGAUAUCGAUGAGUUGUUAGAGUUUGUCGUCACGGUCGAGGAGAUGGUCUUUCGGUCAAGUAACGUUUGACGUCUCUACGGGACGGUCGAGGUUCUUCGGUGUGAUGACGAUGUGAUCCAAACUUCUCUUCCUUCUUUCACUUUUUUUGAUUCCUCUUGUUUCGGGGUUGUUGAGUCUUCACUUCUCGAUGUUUCUACAAUACCUUUCUUCGUCACAUCCUACAAAAAGAAAACGAAUCCUUUGUUCCACCAAAC